CCUGUGAGGGUUGCUGGAGGUAUCAGAAGUGCGAAUGCUGACAUAAGUAACGAUAAAGCGGGUGAAAAGCCCGCUCGCCGGAAGACCAAGGGUUCCUGUCCAACGUUAAUCGGGGCAGGGUGAGUCGACCCCUAAGGCGAGGCCGAAAGGCGUAGUCGAUGGGAAACAGGUUAAUAUUCCUGUACUUGGUGUUACUGCGAAGGGGGGACGGAGAAGGCUAUGUUGGCCGGGCGACGGUUGUCCCGGUUUAAGCGUGUAGGCUGGUUUUCCAGGCAAAUCCGGAAAACCAAGGCUGAGGCGUGAUGACGAGGCACUACGGUGCUGAAGCGACAAAUGCCCUGCUUCCAGGAAAAGCCUCUAAGCAUCAGGUAACAUCAAAUCGUACCCCAAACCGACACAGGUGGUCAGGUAGAGAAUACCAAGGCGCUUGAGAGAACUCGGGUGAAGGAACUAGGCAAAAUGGUGCCGUAACUUCGGGAGAAGGCACGCUGAUAUGUAGGUGAAGCGACUUGCUCGUGGAGCUGAAAUCAGUCGAAGAUACCAGCUGGCUGCAACUGUUUAUUAAAAACACAGCACUGUGCAAACACGAAAGUGGACGUAUACGGUGUGACGCCUGCCCGGUGCCGGAAGGUUAAUUGAUGGGGUUAGCGGCAACGCGAAGCUCUUGAUCGAAGCCCCGGUAAACGGCGGCCGUAACUAUAACGGUCCUAAGGUAGCGAAAUUCCUUGUCGGGUAAGUUCCGACCUGCACGAAUGGCGUAAUGAUGGCCAGGCUGUCUCCACCCGAGACUCAGUGAAAUUGAACUCGCUGUGAAGAUGCAGUGUACCCGCGGCAAGACGGAAAGACCCCGUGAACCUUUACUAUAGCUUGACACUGAACAUUGAGCCUUGAUGUGUAGGAUAGGUGGGAGGCUUUGAAGUGUGGACGCCAGUCUGCAUGGAGCCGACCUUGAAAUACCACCCUUUAAUGUUUGAUGUUCUAACGUUGGCCCGUAAUCCGGGUUGCGGACAGUGUCUGGUGGGUAGUUUGACUGGGGCGGUCUCCUCCUAAAGAGUAACGGAGGAGCACGAAGGUUGGCUAAUCCUGGUCGGACAUCAGGAGGUUAGUGCAAUGGCAUAAGCCAGCUUGACUGCGAGCGUGACGGCGCGAGCAGGUGCGAAAGCAGGUCAUAGUGAUCCGGUGGUUCUGAAUGGAAGGGCCAUCGCUCAACGGAUAAAAGGUACUCCGGGGAUAACAGGCUGAUACCGCCCAAGAGUUCAUAUCGACGGCGGUGUUUGGCACCUCGAUGUCGGCUCAUCACAUCCUGGGGCUGAAGUAGGUCCCAAGGGUAUGGCUGUUCGCCAUUUAAAGUGGUACGCGAGCUGGGUUUAGAACGUCGUGAGACAGUUCGGUCCCUAUCUGCCGUGGGCGCUGGAGAACUGAGGGGGGCUGCUCCUAGUACGAGAGGACCGGAGUGGACGCAUCACUGGUGUUCGGGUUGUCAUGCCAAUGGCACUGCCCGGUAGCUAAAUGCGGAAGAGAUAAGUGCUGAAAGCAUCUAAGCACGAAACUUGCCCCGAGAUGAGUUCUCCCUGACUCCUUGAGAGUCCUGAAGGAACGUUGAAGACGACGACGUUGAUAGGCCGGGUGUGUAAGCGCAGCGAUGCGUUGAGCUAACCGGUACUAAUGAACCGUGAGGCUUAACCUU
rnacentral:rRNA from 1 species